CAUGACCGUGACGUAGACAUUGCUUCUCCCUCUCUAUCAACCGCAAACAUGAUAUGUUUCUACGUACUUCCACGCUACGCUACGUACACGUUCGUGGGUAAACGCGCUCUUACUUGUUCAAAGUUUUGUUG